rnacentral:rRNA from 1 species
AUGGGCCAUAAGGUCCUAAAGGAACUACUCACACAUGGUCAUGGAGGCAGCAAGGUUGAUGAAGAAGCCUCCCGUGGUGGAUACCCCCUCCGACAGGGUGCUGGAACAGGCCUCCAGAUUGGAUCUCCUCGGAAAAAGAACUUGUGGUGGCAGAAAAAAUUGAAAAAAUUGGUAAGGAGGGUUUUGCGAAAUAUGGAAUUUAUAGGCGGAAGAAUGGACGAAAAGCGGUGCCCAGGUGCCCCACGUGGCCUCCUGGUGCGGGUCACCCCUAGUUCGCGCCACCUGGCCGCAUGGGGUCCCUAG